CCUAACGGUGUUCAUAAAAAAGUCUGAAAUCAUGCUGAGAGUAGAAAAAAAAAUCUGUAUGAUAAUUCUGUAGCCAGAAAGCUGAGCCACAGGUGUAAAAAGAAGCCAUCCAUCCAUUCAAGCAUGCUUUACACCUCAUAUGAAGUGGUAACCAAUUCAGCUGCUUCACUGCAUCUAAUGCACUUUAAAAUCACCAAAGAUAUUUUGGUUGCCAGUCCAAAAGACAGCAAGUCUUUCACUGGUCCUGUGUCACUUCUGCUAUCCCUGUGCAGGUAUGCCACUAUGAUGGGAUAGGUACUUACACACUGAGGCUUAAUAACCCAUGCUAUUUUGUAAGACAGAGGAACCAUUAAGUGUUCAAAUUCUCUCUUCUAAGCUAUUUUAUAAGAAGGGAGAAUUCUCCUGCUUCAUGAGAACCACUGUUUCCUCACAAAAGGUUUGCAUGCCCAGACAGAUACGUGAGCUACAAGAAGGUGAGCAGGGCCUGAAAUUUUGAUGCACAUUUUUCUGAAGUGGUUUGCAAAAACUCACGAAAUUAACUAACCAGGUUUGUGAUUAAUGUCACACACUGGUAGCAGUAAGAGGUUAAGCCACUCUCAUAAAGUGUGUGAAGGGGACUUCAAUAUUAAAGGAACUUCUCCGGAAAGCAACUGUAUUGCUUGUCCUAAAUGGGUCUCUGUAUAAAUAAUUCCUACAGAGAAUUCCAUCUAGACAAAAGAAACAAGCCCUGUAGAAAGGAUUAUCCACAGCUAUUAUGCCAUCCUGCAAUUAAAUAUGUUUACAAUAUGUCUUGUACUCAGAUCUUCUAAUGAGCUCCAUACUGCAUCAAUGUGAUUUGAAUCUGGGACUCUCCAAUCUUCCUCCUGCAUCUCUGUUCCCAGAAAAUCACAAACACCUUCUCUGCUCAAAUCUCUCCUCAGAAAUAAAGAACAUAAAAGCCUC